CGGGGCGGGGCUAAAGCACGGGCGGUCCCGGGGACGUGGCCCCGCCCCUAGCUUCCCUCGGGCCGGCCGGGCCGGGCCGGCCCGAGUCUGUCCGCACUCCACCGCCCUCCUAAGCUAGGCUGCGGCGCUGGGAGCGGCAGAUCCCUCCGCCAGCCAGAAGGGAGGGAAGAAGCGACAGAGCAAGGCAAAGGUGUGGUGACUCCUGCCCUACAACAGGAGUGUGGGUGCCAUGCCUACUGGACAACCGACCCAUCAGACUUCUCCAGCAUCCUAAUUACCUCCAAGAACCUGGAGCUUGAGGAAAUGAUGGAAUCUGGCUUAGAUCUCAAAGAACCUUGCAGAACAGAAGGGCACUCAGUUCUUCACACACCCUGAUUUCUAUAUGGCUGGGUCUGAUUUACUGGACAGACUCAAUUCUAGGUUAAGAGCUGAAGAGACUAAUAUAUAAAGAAAGAGACAACAUGUCAUGGUGAUUAGAAUUAUCACCUUUGGAGUAGUCAAGCUACCUUAGUUCAAAUCCUUUUCCCACCAUUUAAUAACUGGGAACUCAGGCACAUUACUUAACUUCCCUGUACCUCAUGAUCCUCAUGGGUCAAAUGGAGAUGAUAAUGGUACCUAACUCAUAAAUUUGGUAUGAAGAUUAAAUUAGUUCAUAUAAGUAAA